CAGUUACUUAAAACAUCGCUGUAUAAUACAUCUGCGAAUGCAGCGCUUUAUUUUUUAAACCGGAAAUAGUUGCUGCGUAUCGGUCGUGCAUUUACCGUAAGCUGACGGUAAGAGCGCACUGAAAAUGUAGGAGCGGCUGGAUUGACCGCAGCUUUUUACUGUGUAAAAUUUCAAGUGGUGGCUUUCAUGCCAGUGAACGAUUAUCAUGAAGCUUUUUUAUUGUGGUUUUAACCAGCACAAGCAGCAACUGUGUGAGCCAUAGUGGUGUAAAGAAUCCGUUUUAUUUCCCCGUGACUGUCAGUCUGUUUCUAGCUACUGAGCUGAUGUGCGUUUCUCAGAGAGCAGGAGGUCCGACUCAGGAUCAGAGAGCAGACAGGACGAUGCCGAGCCGUUUUUAGUUGUUCCAGGUCCAUUCAUCUUUCAUGAUGCCAAGGCUCUGUAGUAAAUUGGCAGUGUAAGGGGUGCUGGGUAGAGGUGUCCAGUAGCUCUGCACUGCUGAAGCAUUAGAAGCUGAAACAUCCUCAGUUUGGCCGCACUGCUUGCUUUCCGUGGACCACUUUCUCUUGUCCUUGCACAUUUAAGACAUGGAAUGGUUUACUUCUCCACCAUAGUAGGGGACACACAAAUAUAAACGCAGAGUUCAGAGGUUGACCGCCCCCCCGCUCCAGUCCCGUUUGUUCUCUCAGCUGGACAUUCUGUGUGACAAACUCCUAACCCUGUAUCAGAAGAGGGAGGACGAAGUGGAACGAAGCUGAAGCAGCUGAUGGAACGCAGGACAGACGUCAGAGGACAGAAAAGGGUCUUUUUGUUCAACUUGUAGAAAAGGGAUGGUGGAAAUAACGGGUUAAAGAGGCCCCUGUUAACACAUUUCUGUAACUCAUGUAGAAUCCAAGUGUCACAUCUGUCAUGGUGCUUUUGGUGUUAAAGCAGAUGUUGUGGAACAUCAAGCUUUUAGCAAUGUUACAACAUUGUUCCCUCAUCCAAACAUGUCUGGAGUGCUGUUUCACUUCAUUCACUCCAUUCUGAGUACUCCUGUUUCUUCUUCUACUUGCAUUCAGGGAUCCAGGGAAGAAGAUGUGGAUGCUGGGAGGGAGUCCAUUCUGAAGGCAUUAAGCGUCUGCUUGAACGAAGACCCUGACGGCUGAUUAAAGAGCAUGUGGGAAGCAGUGAAGCCGUCUUUGAGGACUACGCAGAAGACACCACUGUAGGAAUCUUCACUACAAAACAAGACGAGGCCCAGUCCAAAGCAGAGGACAUCGGAAUCAUCCUGGAAGGACAAAUAGUCAUCAAGAAGUGGACAAUGUUCCGUUGGCCGUCGCCCUCCUCUGUGGACUCCUGUAGGCCCUAAAUGUGGACGAUCCUCCUGAACAGAGGAACUUUUUUGAAGUGGUCCAAAAGGUGAUCAUGGAGCUUGAUGGGGGCAGCCUUUCCAGAACAGCUCAGGUCCUGAAAAACAGACUCCUUGAAUGGUGCUUUGUGAUGUUUGAUGUUUGCAUUUUGCUCUGCUCGUUGGGCCUCAUGUUGUCUUGCAGUGUUCUAAAAAGUAGCUGUUGAUAGGUUCAUGUAAUUAUUGUUCAAGUGUUUUACUGAUCUGUGUUUAAAUAAAAAAGGUCAGACUGUC